CCUGUCCCCCUCUGUUGCCCUUUCCCAGCUGCUACGGAAGAGGCACAUAGGAAAUGACAUCGUGACGAUCAUCUUCCAGGAGCCUGGCGCGCUACCGUUCACCCCCAAGAACAUCCGCUCCCACUUCCAGCACGUCUUCAUCAUUGUCCGAGUCCACAACCCCUGCACUGAUAACGUCUGUUACAGUAUGGCUGUGACCCGAUCCAAAGACGCUCCUCCUUUCGGCCCCCCCAUCCCCAGUGGAACCACAUUCCGCAAAUCCGACGUCUUCAGAGACUUCUUGCUGGCCAAGGUGAUUAACGCUGAGAACGCCGCGCACAAGUCCGACAAGUUCCACACCAUGGCCACCAGGACCCGCCAGGAGUAUCUCAAGG
rnacentral:sRNA from 1 species